CUCAUCCACAAUGGGGGCAUGAUCUUCUGUUGAUGGUUGGACAACGCUGACAGGUGACGAUGGUGUGAAGCAUGUUUGUUGAAUAAUUACUACAGGACUUUCCUCUACACUAAGAGCAGUUUGUUAUAACUUACGUGGAGGAGUAGUGGGCAUCUCUCCACUUCCAGAGGCUGCUACUGGUGGGAUCUGAAUCCGAGUUACUAACACUGUUAAAUAAAUAGAAUAAAAUCAGCACAAGCCAAGGUACUUACCACCAGAACUAGGCUGAGACGUGCUUGGGGCUGAUCGCCCUGCAGAGUAUUUUCAGGGAUCUGGAAAACAUCAAGGAUAAGAGACAGGUACUUACCAGAACUAGGCUGAGGCGUGCUUGGGGCUGAUCACCCUGCAGAGUAUUUUCGGUGAUCUGGAAAACAUCAAGGAUAAGAGACAGAUUCGUCUCUCCUACUUGAGCUUCCGUCACCAACAGACUCUUCAAGAAGCUUGUCCCGCACCUCCAUCUCCCAACUGUUGAAACGCACUCUCUUUGUGGAGUGUAUCAAUGACAGCUUCUUUUUUACAAUGGCCCUGCAAUCAUAAUACCUAUAAAUCAAAUAAAAACAUAUUUUUGGUUAGAAAAUAAUAAAAAAAAAAAAUUUGAAAAACUAUACUGACUUUAUUUGAAAAUAAGGAUUGCUUACAUUUUGCAUCUGAUACAUCCAAAGAAUACCAGCGGAGCUAUUGGAAAUGACUGACAGUGCCUGACCUUUACCAUGGAUUUUUAUAGUUUUAAAAAGUUAUAUUAUAGAGAUGGAUAGAUUAAUAGAAAUAUAUAUAUAUAAAUUCACAGGUUAUUGCUGUUUUAUAUGAAUGUAAAAUUUAGUUAUGUAACAAAUAAAUUUGUUUGUUUUUGUAAAGUUA